GCGAGCGCAGGCGGUUUCUUAAGUCUGAUGUGAAAGCCCCCGGCUCAACCGGGGAGGGUCAUUGGAAACUGGGAGACUUGAGUGCAGAAGAGGAGAGUGGAAUUCCAUGUGUAGCGGUGAAAUGCGUAGAUAUAUGGAGGAACACCAGUGGCGAAGGCGGCUCUCUGGUCUGUAACUGACGCUGAGGCUCGAAAGCGUGGGGAGCAAACAGGAUUAGAUAC
rnacentral:rRNA from 1 species